rnacentral:rRNA from 1 species
GGAGUUAGCCGGUGCUUCUUCUGUGAGUGAUGUCCUUCCUGCCGGCUAUUAACCCGCAGGCCUUCUUCCUCACUGAAAGUGCUUUACAACCCGAAGGCCUUCUUCACACACGCGGCAUGGCUGGAUCAGGGUUGCCCCCAUUGUCCAAUAUUCCCCACUGCUGCCUCCCGUAGGAGUCUGGGCCGUGUCUCAGUCCCAGUGUGGCUGAUCAUCCUCUCAGACCAGCUACGGAUCGUCGCCUUGGUGAGCCGUUACCUCACCAACCAGCUAAUCCGACAUAGGCUCAUCCGAUAGCGCGAGGCCCGAAGGUCCCCCGCUUUCCCCCGUAGGGCGUAUGCGGUAUUAGCCUGGGUUUCCCCCAGGUUAUCCCCCACUACCGGGCAGAUUCCUAUGCAUUACUCACCCGUCCGCCGCUCGCCACCAGGGAGCAAGCUCCCCGUGCUGCCGCUCGACUUGCAUGUGUUAGGUCGUCGCCGCCACGCGUUCUACUACUGAGCACUGAUACAACCUACUCGA